CAAGGAAGAGCAGAAAAUAGUAAGUACUGCUAAUACUUACCUACCAAGGUUAAAAUCCAUGGCUUCCUUGC
rnacentral:tRNA from 1 species